rnacentral:rRNA from 1 species
AUUGAACGCUAGCGGGAUGCCUUACACAUGCAAGUCGAACGGAGUGGCGAACGGGCGAGUAAGGUAUCUGAACGUGCCCAGCAGCGGGGGAGAACUACGCGAAAGCGUAGCUAAUACCGCCUACUAUUGGAGCGGCCGAUAUCGGUUUAGCUAGUUGGUGGGGUAACGGCUCACCAAGGCGACGAUCCGUAGCUGGUUUGAGAGGACGACCAGCCACACUGGGACUGAGACACGGCCCAGACUCCUACGGGGGGCAGCAGUGGGGAAUUUUGGACAAUGGGGGAAAGCCUGAUGCAGCCAUCCCGCGUGUGCGAUGAAGGCCUUCGGGUUGUAAAGCACUUUUGGCAGGAAGGCGGUACCUGCAGAAUAAGCACCGGCUAACUACGUGCCAGCAGCCGCGGUAAUAC